UUUUUUCGCCAGGACGAACGCUGGCGGCGUGCUUAACACAUGCAAGUCGAGCGGUAAGGCCUUUCGGGGUACACGAGCGGCGAACGGGUGAGUAACACGUGGGUGAUCUGCCCUGCACUUCGGGAUAAGCCUGGGAAACUGGGUCUAAUACCGGAUAUGACCUCAGGUUGCAUGACGUGGGGUGGAAAGAUUUAUCGGUGCAGGAUGGGCCCGCGGCCUAUCAGCUUGUUGGUGGGGUAAUGGCCUACCAAGGCGACGACGGGUAGCCGACCUGAGAGGGUGACCGGCCACACUGGGACUGAGACACGGCCCAGACUCCUACGGGAGGCAGCAGUGGGGAAUAUUGCACAAUGGGCGAAAGCCUGAUGCAGCGACGCCGCGUGAGGGAUGACGGCCUUCGGGUUGUAAACCUCUUUCAGCAGGGACGAAGCGCAAGUGACGGUACCUGCAGAAGAAGCACCGGCUAACUACGUGCCAGCAGCCGCGGUAAUACGUAGGGUGCAAGCGUUGUCCGGAAUUACUGGGCGUAAAGAGUUCGUAGGCGGUUUGUCGCGUCGUUUGUGAAAACCAGCAGCUCAACUGCUGGCUUGCAGGCGAUACGGGCAGACUUGAGUACUGCAGGGGAGACUGGAAUUCCUGGUGUAGCGGUGAAAUGCGCAGAUAUCAGGAGGAACACCGGUGGCGAAGGCGGGUCUCUGGGCAGUAACUGACGC
rnacentral:rRNA from 1 species